AGUGAACGCUGGCGGUAGGCCUAACACAUGCAAGUCGAACGGCAGCACAGUAAGAGCUUGCUCUUACGGGUGGCGAGUGGCGGACGGGUGAGGAAUACAUCGGAAUCUACUUUUUCGUGGGGGAUAACGUAGGGAAACUUACGCUAAUACCGCAUACGACCUACGGGUGAAAGCAGGGGAUCUUCGGACCUUGCGCGAUUGAAUGAGCCGAUGUCGGAUUAGCUAGUUGGCGGGGUAAAGGCCCGCCAAGGCGACGAUCCGUAGCUGGUCUGAGAGGAUGAUCAGCCACACUGGAACUGAGACACGGUCCAGACUCCUACGAGAGGCAGCAGUGGGGAAUAUUGGACAAUGGGCGCAAGCCUGAUCCAGCCAUACCGCGUGGGUGAAGAAGGCCUUCGGGUUGUAAAGCCCUUUUGUUGGGAAAGAAAAGCAGCAGGUUAAUACCCCGCUGUUCUGACGGUACCCAAAGAAUAAGCACCGGCUAACUUCGUG
rnacentral:rRNA from 1 species